rnacentral:rRNA from 1 species
UGCUCAGGUGGUCUUGCAAGUCAGAGGUGAAAGCCCCGGGCUUAACUCGGGAACUGCCCCUGAUACUGUAAGGCUUGAGUACGGAAGAGGUUGAUGGAAUUUCUGGUGUAGCAGUGAAAUGCGUAGAUAUCAGAAAGAACACCAGUGGCGAAGGCGGUCAACUGGUCCGGUACUGACACUAAAGCACGAAAGCGUGGGGAGCAAACA